UGGGGAAUAUUGGACAAUGGGCGCAAGCCUGAUCCAGCCAUGCCGCGUGUGUGAUGAAGGCCUUAGGGUUGUAAAGCACUUUCGCCGAUGAAGAUAAUGACGGUAGUCGGAGAAGAAGCCCCGGCUAACUUCGUGCCAGCAGCCGCGGUAAUACGAAGGGGGCUAGCGUUGUUCGGAAUUACUGGGCGUAAAGCGUACGUAGGCGGAUAUUUAAGUCAGGGGUGAAAUCCCGAGGCUCAACCUCGGAACUGCCUUUGAUACUGGGUAUCUUGAGUCCGGGAGAGGUGAGUGGAACUCCUAGUGUAGAGGUGAAAUUCGUAGAUAUUAGGAAGAACACCAGUGGCGAAGGCGGCUCACUGGCCCGGAACUGACGCUGAGGUACGAAAGCGUGGGGAGCAAACA
rnacentral:rRNA from 1 species